UGCAGUGUUCGCUUCGGGCUUCAUGCGUCUGCUCGGUGCUUUGAAGCGUGAGACGAGCGGCUGGGCUUCACUUGCUGCCCCAUUGAACUCCCGUAGCUUCACACUGGCGCCCAUUAUUGUGUAUGGAGGAGGCAGUGAGUCAAGGAAGCUGUGGUGGAUUGUGGACCUGAUCAGUGGCGUUCUCAGAGCCUCGUAUGUGCCAAAUUUACCUUGUCAAAUUUACCUGUGUUUUGAAGUCUCUGGAUGUUGCAGGUUCCUCUUCUCUCCGUCUUAAAAGGUCUGGUCUGCUUCCGUUUCUACAAGUCAUGCGAACGCUGUGAACGAUAACAAGCAGGCGUGGAUUCAGCGUCUCCCUCCCGCACCACCACCACCACCAUCACCACUACAACCACCAUCACUACCACCAUCACUACCAACACCACUACCACCGUCAUCACCAGCCGUCUCCAUCCCACACCCCCACCAUCACUACCAAUACUAUCACCACCACCACCACCACCACCACCACCUGACGUCAGAGGAAGGUGCCCUAUCGAGGAGGCAAAUAUUGGAUAUGUGAAAACUCCUCCUCCUCCUCUUCCUCCUCUUCCUCCUCCUCAGAGCAUAAAUACCUCAAAAGUGGAUGGGAAGGAGGAUGACUGACAGCCUGAGGAAAAGAGGAGGAGAAAGAAGAGAGUGAAAAAUAAAGAAAAUAAUAGUUGGAGGAGGAAAGGGAAGAGGAGGAGGAGGAGGAGGAGGAGGAGGAGGAGGAGGAGGAGGAGGUAUGUGCAGUGAAGUGUGUACAGUAAUAGAGAUCCGGUCUAAUAAGGAGAAGGAAGAAGAGGAGGAGGAGGAGAACGAGAACGAGGAGGAGGAGGAGGAGGAGGAAGAAGAGCAUGAAACUUAGAAGGAGAAAGAAGAAGGAGGUGGAGGAAAAAGAGAAGGAAAAAAAACGAAGAAAAAGGAGGAGGACGCCAGGUAGGAAGGAAGAAUAGACAAUGAAAGUGAAAAUGGAGGAGGAAGAAGAUGAAAUAAAAGUGAAGGAAGAUCGUUGAAAGGGAAGAAAUAUGAAGGAUCAGAAGAUAAAAAAAAAAAAUGACGAGGAUGAGAAGGAGGAGGAGGAAUAGAAGGAAGAAUGUUUAAUAAGAAAAGUUUUAGAGAAGAAAUCUAGAACUUGAUCAAGACGACGAAAAUAAUGAAGAUAAAAAUGACGCAAAGGAAGAAAAAAAUUGUUACGUCCUCGCCAGCAACGGUUUUUUUUAUCUUACACACACACACACACACACACACACACACACACACACACACACACACACACACACACACACACACACACACACACACACACACACACACACACACA